rnacentral:rRNA from 1 species
UACGUAGGUGGCAAGCGUUGUCCGGAUUUAUUGGGCGUAAAGCGCGCGCAGGCGGUCCCUUAAGUCUGAUGUGAAAGCCCACGGCUCAACCGUGGAGGGUCAUUGGAAACUGGGGGACUUGAGUACAGAAGAGGAAAGCGGAAUUCCACGUGUAGCGGUGAAAUGCGUAGAGAUGUGGAGGAACACCAGUGGCGAAGGCGGCUUUCUGGUCUGUAACUGACGCUGAGGCGCGAAAGCGUGGGGAGCAAACAGG